CUUGAGAGGAACCGCAUAACACGUUCUACUACGAGGCCACGACUCCACCUCCACACCGUCUCCCCAAUUCCUGAUCCACCAACUCCCUCCCAGACAUUCUCCCACCGUCCAACGAAACCCCCAUGCCUUGGCCGCUGCCGCCGUCCCCCACCUUGAAGGCAUGGACACCGUCGGCGCCGGCCCUACCCCUCUGGCCUGGACGCCACUGCCGCCACCUUGCUGGGUGUACGUCGGGGCGCCACCCACCCCUCGUGCGCCUGGAUCCCUCCGCCCACAGCAAGUACGGCCUGGAUGCAGCCGCCGCUGUUCCUCGACACAAGGCCGUCGCGCUCCAUGCGGCGACUUCUCUGGCACGAAGCGUCGCCAUCGCCGCCACCGCCCCACUGGUCUACUCGCGGGUACGCCAAGUCAAGCACGACAAGCUUAAAUCUAUCUCUCCACGAUGCUCGGCGUCAUCAAGCAGUACCUGAACUCAGUUCUGCUGUUGUAGAUGUUGAUGCUUUAGUUACCAAGAGGUUCCAAUCCACAUGUUUUGCUGAUUACUCAAAAGGGGAUUGUUAAAAUUUUCGAAAUAGUCUUCAUGUUUCUCUAAUGCUUUAGUUACCGACAGGUUCCAGUCCACAUGUUUGGACGCUUGCUGAUAGCAAAUAUACUCAGAGAUUAGCGCCUACAAGAGGAGAACUUCGGCAAAUGCAUCGGUACAUAUGGAAUGUUGAGUUCUUGAUGUUCUGCGAUAGCUUGCUUGACGAAUAAAUAAUGCAUCUCUUGCAUAUCUCUUUUCUUUACGACGUUUGAUAAGAGCAGAUAUCAGGGACGUUUCAAUUGAUCACAAAACUGUGUCAGCCGAUGUACUAUGAGUGAGAUACAAAAUAUAUUUUCUGAUUUAACCAGCCACGAUGGUAGUCAUCUAUCUGAACAAUGAAUAAAGCUCUCUGUUUGUGCCCCCCUUCCACUUCUGUUCAUGUCAAGAUGAAUCUUUCUGUCCAUGCAACUUAGAGUAUCUAAGAAUGUUAGUGGCUAACUUGACUGCAUUUAAUUUAACUCUCCGUAGGCUCCUUAGUUUCUUUCACACAGUAAAAACAACAAACUAGAAACAGAACCAUUGGACAUAGUAGCAGUCUGUAAAAUUGACAACAGAAUAUCAAUGUAUCUCUAUGAAACUGACUCUUAUGCAUGAACUGAACCUCUAAGCCCGGAAUAGUUCUGCUUCUCACAGACAUUGCAAAAUCGUAGGAAUUUGCAAGCGGUGUGUUCGCAACCAUGUCAAGGAGAAGGACGAUAGAGCAAGAAGAAGGAAUAGCGGAUGAUUAAUGGUUGGGAGGAGAUGUCUCACAGUAAUCUUGAUGCGUGGCUACGCUUAUAUUUUGACAUGUAAAGGUGUGACGAGAAAGGCGAUGUUAAGCUCAGAGAAGAUUAUGUCAAGGAGAUUAUGGUGCUGAGAACCUCAGCAGACAAGCUUGCCAAGACAAGAAGAUCAAGCGGCGCCCAGGUGCAUGUGGCUUGUCAUUUCUGCCUAAGAAUAAUUGGAUGAUAGAAGUCUGAAAUAAGUGAUUACCAAGCGGGGAGUGUCAGUCUAGACCUCAAGUUGUGGGAGUUGGCCAGGUCCACUGAAUGUGUCAAGUUACGCAUCAAGGUGUUUCCCUUUUAGAGAAUACAUAGGAGAGCUUGAGGAUUUUUUUCAUCCCAAAGUUUUUCCUCCGGAGUGCGAGGGCCCUCAAGAGUGCUUCCAUAUGAAUGGCUAACCCGAGCUUCACAUUGUUUUGGAUGGAUGAGGGCAAUUCAAAGUAGAGCAAGCUUCUAAAAAGAUGGCCAGUAACAACUGCCAAAUGGCGAUUCUCAGGAGUGAAGGUACUUAAGGAGGCAGACCAUGCAGCUUUUGAAAAGGAAUUAAUUCCCCUCUUGGAGGACCAUUUCAGCUAGGAAGUGGAGUUCGUCGACCAAGCUUAAUGCAUAUGGAGCGGUAUGAGCUUUUUGGAUGUGAACUAUGAAAUCUGCGUCCUAAGUUUGGUGAUAUCAGAUUGCAGACUUUGUUAAAUUUGUGGCUUGAUAUCUGGUGGGAAUCAGAAACACCUUUCUGGGCAGUGUGGACUGAUAUUUUUUUAUGUGUAAUUUGCAUUAACAAUUUUCCCCACUAUGUUUUCACAAUGGCAGCAUGUCACAUUACCUGCAAAUUGUGUUUCAUGUCGCACUGAUAUUCUGUUGGGAAUCAAGAUUCGAAAGGACUGUGGACUGAUAGCUUUCUUGCCA